GGGGGUAUAGCUCAGCGACAGAGCAUGUGCUUGGCGUGCACGGGGUCCUGGGUUCAAUACCCAGUGCCUCCG
rnacentral:tRNA from 1 species